GAACCGUCCAAACGUUAUUCGGAAUCACUGGGCUUAAAGGGUGCGUAGGCGGCCUGGUAAGUUGGGUGUGAAAUCCCUCGGCUUAACCGAGGAACUGCGCCCAAUACUGUCAGGCUCGAGGGAGAUAGAGGUGAGCGGAACUUAGGGUGGAGCGGUGAAAUGCGUUGAUAUCCUAAGGAACGCCAGUGGCGAAAGCGGCUCACUGGAUCUCUUCUGACGCUGAGGCACGAAAGCUAGGGUAGCGAACGGGGAUUAGAUACCCCGGUAGUCCUAGCUGUAAACGAUGAGCACUUGGUUGGAGGGACUCCCCAUAUCCUUCCGACCCGGAGCGAAAGUGUUAAGUGCUCCGCCUGGGGGAGUAUGGUCGCAAGGCUG
rnacentral:rRNA from 1 species